AUUUUGCUUGAGGGAUAGCAGCGGAUAGCCCACAGCCUGACGAAGGAAGUGUGAGGACUUGUAGCGAAUAGCCCGAUUCGCC
rnacentral:misc_RNA from 1 species